UAACGGGAUGGCUUUUCAUUAGUGUAAAGAGCUUUUGGAAUAAGAGCUGGGCAAGACCGGUGCCAGCCGCCGCGGUAACACCGGCAGCUCUAGUGGUAGCAAUUUUUAUUGGGCCUAAAGCGUCCGUAGCCGGUUUAAUAAGUCUCUGGUGAAAUCCUGUAGCUUAACUGUGGGAAUUGCUGGAGAUACUAUUAGACUUGAGACCGGGAGAGGUUAGAGGUACUCCCAGGGUAGAGGUGAAAUUCUGUAAUCCUGGGAGGACCGCCUGUUGCGAAGGCGUCUGACUGGAACGGUUCUGACGGUGAGGGACGAAAGUUAGGGGCGCGAACCGGAUUAGAUACCCGGGUAGUCCUAACUGUAAACGAUGCGGACUUGGUGUUGGGGUGGCUUUGAGCUGCUCCAGUGCCGAAGGGAAGCUGUUAAGUCCGCCGCCUGGGAAGUACGGUCGCAAGACUGAAACUUAA
rnacentral:rRNA from 1 species